GGAUAGUUCAGUUGGUUGGAGCAUGGCGCUGAUAAUGCCACGGUUGCGGGUUCGAUGCUCGUAUGGGACA
rnacentral:tRNA from 1 species